rnacentral:lncRNA from 1 species
AGUGUGAUUAAUAAUGUAUGUGAGAAGAUAUGAUACACACUAACUUGUGAGAUGUACUGUUUGUAAUGGCCCUUGAUGUUUCUGUGUGUUUUUUUUCCAUUUAGAAUUGAAACACUACCGAGCAUUCUGGGAUCCAUGACAGUGUCUAGCAUUUAGUAGCUUAUCAGUGCUACUGGCCAAAAGGAUGAGUCCAAGUUAAUGGAUCUGGGCUGGGGAUGAUGGCUCAUGUGAAAUGUAUUGAGAUGGUCAGUCAAUUGAGGCCCCAACUGGUGAAGCAAGUGACACAUUCUCCUUCUCUCAUGAACCGUCCACCCUUUAUGCCUGUGAAAUUCUGAAGUACCUAUAUUUAAUGAAGAAGAUGAAAAAUGAAGCCACUGGAACAUAAAUGAGCAGAAGUCAACUCAUCUGAAACUUGAACUCUUGUCAAACUCCCAUUUAAAAGGCCAAUGAAAACAAUAGACUGCAUUUGUGCUGAAAUCAGCAGAUGCUACUUGCUGCUUGUCAGUCUAUGGUGGACAUAAUUAAACAACCUUGUUGUGAAUACCUUGAAAUCUUCUUUGUAAAGUGAGUAAAGACAAAAAAACCAUGGAAACAGAUAUUUUACACACAACCAAAAAGUCUUGACAGGUAAGAAUCAACUUUGUAGCCUAAAAGAGAUGAUUUCUUCAAAUACCUGGGGAAGACUGAUAGAUGUGGCUGAUGUCAAGCCACAAAGAUAAACCUCAGUAAAUGUCAAAAGCAUAAAUUAUAGAGCUCUGUUCUCUGUUCUCACCCAAAAUGCAUAUAAUGAGAGAUUAAAUAAAAUCCAACAGGAUGACUAAGAGAAAGAAAGAUCUGUACCUUUUCUGAAUAAAAAGUUUGAAGUAGCCACAGUUAUAGAAAACAAAAGUCUUUUUGUUUUUUGGUUUUUUUAUUAUUAUUUUAUUUUGGUUUUCAAGACAGUGUUUCUCUGUGAAACAAUCCUGGCUGUCCUGAAACUCACUCUGUAGACCAGGCUGCCUUGAAACUCACUGAGAUACACCUCCUCUGCCU